GACGAACGCUGGCGGCGUGCUUAACACAUGCAAGUCGAACGGAAAGGCCCUGCUUUUGUGGGGUGCUCGAGUGGCGAACGGGUGAGUAACACGUGAGUAACCUGCCCUUGACUUUGGGAUAACUUCAGGAAACUGGGGCUAAUACCGGAUAGGAGCUCCUGCUGCAUGGUGGGGGUUGGAAAGUUUCGGCGGUUGGGGAUGGACCCGCGGCUUAUCAGCUUGUUGGUGGGGUAGUGGCUUACCAAGGCUUUGACGGGUAGCCGGCCUGAGAGGGUGACCGGCCACACUGGAACUGAGACAGGGUGCAGACGCCGACGGGAGGCAGCAGUAGGGAAUCGUCCGCAAUGGGCGAAAGCCGGACGGAGCAACGCCGCGGGAGUGAUGAAGGGCGUCGGAUCGUAAAACUCGGGUAGGAGGGAAGAACAAAGGUGUAAGUAACUAGGCACGUCUUGACGGUACCUAAUCAGAAAGCCACGGCUAACUACGUG
rnacentral:rRNA from 1 species